rnacentral:rRNA from 1 species
UGGGGAAUAUUGCACAAUGGGCGCAAGCCUGAUGCAGCGACGCCGCGUGAGGGAUGACGGCCUUCGGGUUGUAAACCUCUUUCGCCAAGGACGAAGGGUGACUGACGGUACUUGGAUAAGAAGCACCGGCUAACUACGUGCCAGCAGCCGCGGUAAUACGUAGGGUGCAAGCGUUGUCCGGAAUUAUUGGGCGUAAAGAGCUCGUAGGCGGUGUGUCACGUCGGCCGUGAAAACCAGACGCUUAACGUUUGGCGUGCGGUCGAUACGGGCAGACUUGAGUUCGGUAGGGGAGACUGGAAUUCCUGGUGUAGCGGUGAAAUGCGCAGAUAUCAGGAGGAACACCGGUGGCGAAGGCGGGUCUCUGGGCCGAUACUGACGCUGAGGAGCGAAAGCGUGGGGAGCGAACAG